AGCUACUGCCAUCAGAGUUCGAUUAAGCCAUGUUAGUUGAGGGUGCUUCCCUUCGGAGGAAGAGGUAACCCGGCGGACGGCUCAGUAACACGUGGACAACUUACCCUUGGGACGGGGAUAACCCCUGGGAAACCGGGGCUAAUACCGGAUAGAGCAUCGGUUGCUGGAAUGCACGAUGUUCGAAAGCUGAGGCGCCCAAGGAUAGGUCUGCGGCCGAUUAGGUUGUUGUUGAUGUAACGGAUCAACAAGCCUACGAUCGGUACGGGUUGUGAGAGCAAUAGCCCGGAGAUGGGUUCUGAGAGAAGAACCCAGGUCCUACGGGACGCAUCAGGCGCGAAAACUUUACAAUGUGCGAAAGCACGAUAAGGGAACUCUGAGUGCCUCCUAAGGAGGCUGUUCAGGUGUCUAAAAAGCACCUGAAGGAAGGGCUGGGUAAGACCGGUGCCAGCCGCCGCGGUAACACCGGCAGCCCAAGUGGUAGCCAUGCUAUUGGGUCUAAAGCGUCCGUAGCCGGCCGGGUAAGUUCCUUGGGAAAUUUGACCGCUUAACGGUCAAGCUUUCAGGGAAUACUGCUUGGCUUGGGACCGGGAGAGGUCAGAGGUACUCCAAGGUAGGGGUAAAAUCCAUUAAUCCUUGGGGGACCACCGGUAGCGAAGGCGUCUGACCAGACCGGGUCCGACGGUGAGGGACGAAGGCUAGGGUCGCGAACCGGAUUAGAUACCCGGGUAGUCCUAGCUGUAAACGAUGCGGGCCAGGUGUUGGCAUUACUGCGAGUGAUGCCAGUGCCGAAGGGAAGCCGUUAAGCCCGCCAUCUGGGGAGUACGGUCGCAAGGCUGAAACUUAAAGGAAUUGGCGGGGGAGCACCACAACGGGUGGAGCUUGCGGUUCA
rnacentral:rRNA from 1 species